GAUGAACGCUGGCGGCGUGCCUAAUACAUGCAAGUCGAGCGAACGGACGAGAAGCUUGCUUCUCUGAUGUUAGCGGCGGACGGGUGAGUAACACGUGGAUAACCUACCUAUAAGACUGGGAUAACUUCGGGAAACCGGAGCUAAUACCGGAUAAUAUUUUGAACCGCAUGGUUCAAAAGUGAAAGACGGUCUUGCUGUCACUUAUAGAUGGAUCCGCGCUGCAUUAGCUAGUUGGUAAGGUAACGGCUUACCAAGGCAACGAUGCAUAGCCGACCUGAGAGGUGGAUCGGCCACACUGGAACUGAGACACGGUCCAGACUCCUACGGGAGGCAGCAGUAGGGAAUCUUCCGCAAUGGGCGAAAGCCUGACGGAGCAACGCCGCGUGAGUGAUGAAGGUCUUCGGAUCGUAAAACUCUGUUAUUAGGGAAGAACAUAUGUGUAAGUAACUGUGCACAUCUUGACGGUACCUAAUCAGAAAGCCACGGCUAACUACGUG
rnacentral:rRNA from 1 species